AUGCACAGUAUGCGCUCGGGGAGGUGCAUCUUCUAUCCAAGGCCACCCGGAGUCGCGCCUGAGCCGGUCGUUGCCCGCUUCCUAGUGGAGAGCCGCGGGAGGCUUCUCAUGGUGAUCCAGAUCGCGCCUCUCGCAGACGUGCUUGGUGAGCCUCGCCUCACCACAGGCUUCAGAGUCUUCUCCAUGAAAAGCCCUACCGGCGAGCUUGGUCUGCACCGUUGGGUCGAGGAAGAUCUUGGCAACCGCCUGAUCUUUGUUGGGCGAGGCUGCUCACGCUCCUUCAAUACAUCGGACCUGCACCUGCGCUCUGGCAUUUAUUUCCUCGACACGAGUACCUUUGAUGUGGUCAGGCCCAAGGUGUACCCUAACAAUGACAUGGGCGUGUGGCUGCCCCACGGCUUGGUCGACCGACCAUUUCCAGAUCAGGAGGUCUCCUCAUCGGUAGCGCCAGCAGUCUGGGCGCUGCCCUUCAGGAUUCAAGGAGGUGAUAGCACUGAAGAAACUGCCGAGGAGGAGCUGCUUGAAACGCAUGUACAAGAAGAUGAUGUUCAUGGAAGAUGA
rnacentral:rRNA from 1 species